rnacentral:lncRNA from 1 species
CGGCUUGCUCGAAGGUGAAGACGAGAAGGAGUGAUUACAAUUCAGUGUGAACAGUACGAUAUUACUGUUCAUCUAUUUAUAGGCAGGAGACACAGCCCAGGAAAAAUUGCAUCCAUACCCUUGAGCAUUUGUUUAUAAACAACUUACACUAACAAGGUCUAUCUAGUCUUUUCCUUCCUUGCUUGAUUUGAGCCGAAGCUAUCGGUAGCUUCAGCAUUCUGCAUUGUUGCUCCUUCCCGAAGUCUUCGUCUUGAGAACCUUCGGCAGGAGGAGGGCGGACUUCUUGUGGCACUUAGUCGAAGCUGUUUAUGUCUUAAGGACUGUCACACCCGGUUUUAGAAGGUAAACCGAAUGCGAACCAUGUACGUGCCAGGAUCAGUUAUUCACGUACACAGCAGUUACAUAACAUGGACAUCAUCACACAGUGCUCAAAAUAGUAUUAAAAGGGAAAUAAUAGUCGAUUACAUAAUGCGUCUGAGACGUCCAUAUAGUUCUUACAAUAAAUCAAAGUAUGGAAAAGAAACGUAGAUAAACGCGGCCUUCACAGGCAGCCGACUGGGGGUUGCCGCCAACCCACGCCUAGAACUCGUCUGUAACACCCCGGGAUCCACAAACACCCCAGAAUGCUACUAAACUACACAUCUAAUAUUCAUAUAUAAAAUUUCAACAGCAUCUCCUUUGAAAAUUGCAUAAACGGGGGAAGCAACAAAGUAUAAAUAGAUAUCAUGAUAAGAAAACAUAUAAGACGUUAAUAAUCUGCUAGCAAUGGGAAGACAACCAUAACAACAUGAACUGAAUUAAUCAGUGCGCACGACUAGUUAAAAACAAACAUCCUUUGACAAGAAGUUUCUAAUUAAAUCAUGGCUGCGUCUGGGCAGCAAUAUUAUGAGAAUGAAGGUGGAUGUGCUGCUACUUCCCACUCCCCUUGAUGAGCAACAAGCACCUGCAUUGAGUAAUGCAAGAGUGAGAUGAAACAUCUCAGCAAGCUAAUUGUUCUGACGAGAUAUUUAAACCACAAAUUGAAUUCAUCAACAUUUUAAAAGAGUCACAAUUAAAAAUCAGAAAUGCUUGUAGAUAUAGAACUCAGUAGUCCCACUAUAACCAAUACCAUCUCAUUUCCUCGAACAACCACAAUAGGUUCUAUAACACUUCCCUGCGUCAACAAUACCUGCAAAUAUCACUUCAAUGUAUGCAUAGGAAUGCAAUGUGUAGGUACUCUAUCUUCAUACCUCUGGGGGUAUAAAACCACAUCAUCUGCAAAUAUCACUUCAAUGAAUGCAUAUGAAUGCAAUGCAUAUGUCUUCUGCCUUCAUACCUCUAAGGGUAUGAAGCCGCAUCGUACCCCUUCUCGGGCAACGUACGAUGCUAAGUUGUACCGGUACGGUCGGACCAUAGGUCACGACAAAACUUCAUAUGCAAAUGAGUCAUGCAAUGUAUAUGGCAUGCUACAUUUAUCAAUAAACUUCACUUCCUUCAGAUACAACACAAACCUCAAAUAAUACUUCAUUUACCUUCAGAUACAAUACCAACCUCAAAUAAUACUUCAUUUACCUUCAGGGGUGUGAAUUAAUCUCAUGAGUCAUACUCAAAUCAUAAUCAUCAUCAAUAUAUGAUUGAGCAUCAGUAUAAUGCAAGAAAGUAAAGCAUCACCAUAGAGUCCAAUUAUGAGAGAAUCUGAUACUUCUGAAUAUUAGAGUGUAGGCGAUAGAAAUAACAGGUCAGAACGGAAGCAACCACCGCUACAUUCACUUGCCUUCAUCGAAGAAGAAGAAAUGUACUAGACAUGAUCUGAAGUGUAGCCACCUGCUAGUGGGCAUAAAACUUAGUACACAUAUUUCACAAACAUUUGCCAUCAAUCAACAAAACACUCCUACACUUGAAACCAAGACCCAGUGGAAAGACUCCCACCCUAAACCACAUGCCAUACAACAGCAACGCUGUUUGUUAAUUUUGUAUCUUUAAAAUUAAAACAGCGGUGAUAUCAAACAAAUACUCUAGGAGUAUCUACACAAAAUACUCUACAACUUCAGUAUUCAAUAGAUAAUUAAAUUCUGCCAUCUACAAGUUCUAAAACAUCUGACAAGAUAACUGACUGAAUCUGUUUUAGACAGCAGUAUGGUUAAAUUUAAAAUUCGAUAUCUCCAAAACUGCUGAACCAAAAAUUAUGAAAUUCUGCUGGAAGUAAGAACUUUUAUCCCUCUACAAAAGUCUCCAUAGUUGGAAGAGCCAAUUCGGCCAUUUACUAGAUGAAACCCACCAGUGAACAGACCCACUCAUUUUUGUCAGGUAAACAGGAACAGCCACAGUAAAACAAACAUAACUGGAGUUUCACAAAUCAUAUGAAUGCACUCUUUAACAAUCUGGAAAGCUUAUAAAAUUAUCUACAACUUCUUUUACCAACUCACAGUUUAAUUCUGUUGAUAAAAUUGCCUAAAUCUUAAGAGAACAGAUUCUGCACAGAAUUAUGAGGCUGAAAAACUGCUAUAGUAAAACUGCAAUAACUUUCUGGUCGGAUGUCCGAUUGAGGUGUUCUUCGCGGCCACGGAAAUAUCUACAAAUUAUCUACGACUCAUACAUAGACUUUUUAUUUUUUUGAGGCCACUAAGACCACGGAAAACUGGCAUGAACAGAAACUGUCGAAUCUGCCAUUCUGCAGAAAACUAAAUUCGAGAUCAAAACCUAACCCCACAUCAAAUCCAACCUCUAAUCCUUUAAUUCCCAUGAUCCACAACCUCCAAAAGCCUAUAAUUACAGGGAGAAACAAGGAUCUCAUCCAUACCUAGGGUUUCCCCAAGAAAUCUUCAAGAGGAGAUGGGGAAGAACAUCUCCUUGAUCCUCUCUUCCUCUUCAAUUCAACGUGCCCCUCCUUUUCUCGAUCCUUGCUGCGUAGGGGGAGAUCUUGGGGGAGGAAGCAAUGGAGGAUGGCUGCCAUAGGGGGAGGGGGCGUCCAACCAAGGGGGAGAAAAAGGGGGUGGCGGCCAAGAGGGGGGGUGAAGGGAAAAAAAGGGGUGGCCACCUAGGGUUUUUGUGGGAGAAAGAAACGACGCCUCAGAUGACUUCUAUCUUUGCAUCCAAUGGCCCACAACCCUUUACCUCAUCCACGCACCAGAGAUUAACUUUUGGUCAACAUUUUUUUUGGAUAUUACACUCUACCCCCCUUAAAAAGAAUUCGACCUCGAAUUCGGCCACUCCAAGCAAAACACCCAAGGUACCCCAUAUAGCACCACAAUUCAAAACAUGGGUCCAUUAUUGGUCUUAAUUAACACAAGAACUUCUACCUUGGACUAAUUGUCUAAGGAAACUAUACGACCUGACAUCAAGCAUGAAACAACAUGUAAUGAAGCACAAAGCAUGUCAUAGUUGCAAUCAACACUCCAAUUUCACACCAUCAAAUUUGGAUGCAGCUAUACAUCAACAUCAAUGUCUUAAGACAACACUCUUUUAUGAAGGGGUAAUAUGCACCAAGCACAACCCUUACCAACUUCAACCAUUAAUUUUAAUUAAAUGGUGAAACAUCUACACCCGACGAAUGUAUAAGAAGAUCAAACACCUCACCUUAAAGCACUAUGAAACAAGUAGUUCUAUUGGAACAAAACUCCUAAUCUUCCUAAACCUUAUUCUUGCCAUCAUGAAAAGAUAAUCAUG